rnacentral:rRNA from 1 species
UUCGGUCCCCGCUGAAAGCGGCGAACGGGUGAGUAACACGUAGGUGAUCUAGCCCAGAGACGGGGAUAACGGGUGGAAACAUCCGCUAAUACCGGAUAGGCUUGUUCGGUCAAAGGGACAAGGAAAGGCUCCGGCGCUCUGGGAGGAGCCUGCGGCCCAUCAGCUAGUUGGCGGGGUAACGGUCCACCAAGGCAAAGACGGGUAGGGGGUGUGAGAGCAUGGGCCCCCACAAUGGGACUGGAACACGGUCCAUACUCCUACGGGAGGCAGCAGCAGGGAAUAUUGCACAAUGGACGGAAGUCUGAUGCAGCGACGCCGCGUGGAUGAAGAAGGCCCUCGGGUUGUAAAAUCCUUUACAGGGGGAAGAGGAAGGACGGUACCCCUGGAACAAGUGUCGGCUAACUACGUGCCAGCAGCCGCGGUAAGACGUAGGACACAAGCGUUAUCCGGAUUUACUGGGCGUAAAGCGUCUGCAGGCGGACAGGUAAGUUGGGCGUGAAAGCUCCGGGCCCAACCCGGAGAGGUCGUUCAAUACUGCGUGUCUAGAGGGUGUCAGAGGGGAGUGGAAUUUCCGGAGUAGCGGUAAAAUGCGCAGAGAUCGGAAAGAACACCAAUGGCGAAGGCAGCUCCCUGGGGCAACCCUGACGCUAAGAGACGAAAGCUAGGGGAGCGAACAGGAUUAGAGACCCUGGUA